rnacentral:tRNA from 1 species
AGGGGUAUAGCUCAGCUGGUAGAGCAACGGUCUCCAAAACCGUAGGUCGUAGGUUCGAUCCCUGCUACCCCUGCCA